AGUCCCAUCGUCUAGCGGCCAAGGACCACGGGCUUUGGACCCGUGUACGCCAGUUCGAAUCUGGCUGGGGCUA
rnacentral:tRNA from 1 species